rnacentral:lncRNA from 1 species
UUUUGGUGAGAAGGAAAAUGGAGUUGAACCAGUCACAUCAGCAAAUACAGAUGGUGUGCUUCAGUAAAGCCAGGAAGGGCAGUGGGGGAGCGUGGACGUCAGUGGCUCCAUCCCUGGCAGGAUGAAUGGGCGGAGACAGCGCUCUUUCCAAAGCACCAUGGAAGGGAACCUGAGGUCACUGUCCUCCCCCAUGAAGCAGCCAAGUGGAGUGACCCCGGCUUUCCUCUGGACAGACUGGAGCACCUGCCGUAGCACAGACAGAUAACUCUUUGACUUUUAUUGUCCUUGUCAGGGAAAGUUCCCCAAGGGUGACAGAGCUGAAGAUGGUUUUCAUGGACUGUCACCAGUGAACGCUUUCCCCCCACAGAACAACUACGGGUUAUAUGACCUCAUGGGCAAUGUGUGGGAAUGGACAGCGUCCACAUACCAAGCUGCUGGCCAGGACAUGCGUGUCCUCCGGGGGGCAUCAUGGAUCGACACCGCAGACGGCUCUGCUAAUCACCGGGCUCGGGUCACCACCAGGAUGGGCAAUACUCCGGAUUCAGCCUCAGACAACCUGGGCUUCCGCUGCGCUUCCAGUGAAGGCAGGCUGAAGGAGGAUCUGUGAGCGGCCAGACAGAGACGGAGAAAGCACCCCCUCAGUACUGUCUCUCCCUGACCAGAUUCCAGAGGCAGCUGGACACCAAGCUCAUCCGUCUGAGGGAUGGCCUUUUGAGCCCCUCCCCUUUGACAGACAACCUCCUAAGGACAGAAGAACACUCAGACCCCAAGAAGGGACUGCCAUCGCCUGGAAGAUGACCAAGGCUGGGCGCUGGGUUGUCUCUUAAGUGCAGUAUUAAGGACAAAGGAACCAAACGCUCUGGUAUCUGGAGCAGUUCUCCAAAAGACAGCAUUUUAAAGUCUUGCCCUUUUUGCUUUCUCCCGAGAAAUUUUAUAGAAGGAAAAUGCUUCCUUUGUGAGAUGGCACCAAAGCCUGCCUUGCUGCUGGAACCUAGCCUCGAUGUCCUUUGAAAUGGGAUACUCGUGUGGCUACUGGUCUCGAACUCUCCGUCCUCCUACCUCAGCUUCCUGAGUGCUGGGAUUAUAUACAAUACCCACUGUUAAAAGGCUCCAGUAGAGCAAACGAUUUACAAGGUGAAGCUGUGCAUUGUGAGAGAAUGCUACCAGUGUUCCUCUAGGAAUACAAAUGCCUUCCGUGUUCCAUGCAAACAUGUCCCUGAGGGAGAUAUAUAUAUAUAUCCACUUCCUCAACUAUCAAUAACCUUUGGGCCCAUACAGAGAAAUAGGGCUGGAAAGACGGCUUGGUGGUUAUGAGCGCUUGUUCUUGCAGAGAAGGGGUUCAAUUCUUACCACCCACUAGGUGGUCCCAUCUACCUGUACAACUCUGUUCAGGGGAUCUGACGUCCCCUUGUAACCUCCACAGGUACUGCAUGCAUGUGGGUUACAUGCGAACAAAUCAGACAUAAAAUACAUAAAUCUAAAAUUC